CAAGGAAUAGUUUAAGUAGAAUUUCAGCUUUGGGUGUUGAUGG
rnacentral:tRNA from 1 species